rnacentral:rRNA from 1 species
GACGAACGCUGGCGGCGUGCUUAACACAUGCAAGUCGAACGAUGACGCCCGAGCUUGCUCGGUCUGAUUAGUGGCGAACGGGUGAGUAACACGUGAGCAACCUGCCCUUCACUCUGGGAUAACCUCGGGAAAUCGGGGCUAAUACCGGAUAUGAGCUCCUGUCGCAUGGCGGGUGUUGGAAAGUUUUUCGGUGAAGGAUGGGCUCGCGGCCUAUCAGUUUGUUGGUGAGGUAGUGGCUCACCAAGGCGAUGACGGGUAGCCGGCCUGAGAGGGCGACCGGCCACGCUGGGACUGAGACACGGCCCAGACUCCUACGGGAGGCAGCAGUGGGGAAUAUUGCACAAUGGGCGAAAGCCUGAUGCAGCGACGCCGCGUGAGGGAUGACGGCCUUCGGGUUGUAAACCUCUUUCAGCAGGGAAGAAGCGAAAGUGACGGUACCUGCAGAAGAAGCGCCGGCUAACUACGUG